AGUGAACGCUGGCGGUAGGCCUAACACAUGCAAGUCGAACGGCAGCACAGUAAGAGCUUGCUCUUACGGGUGGCGAGUGGCGGACGGGUGAGGAAUACAUCGGAAUCUACUUUUUCGUGGGGGAUAACGUAGGGAAACUUACGCUAAUACCGCAUACGACCUACGGGUGAAAGCAGGGGAUCUUCGGACCUUGCGCGAUUGAAUGAGCCGAUGUCGGAUUAGCUAGUUGGCGGGGUAAAGGCCCACCAAGGCGACGAUCCGUAGCUGGUCUGAGAGGAUGAUCAGCCGCACUGGAACUGAGACACGGUCCAGACUCCUACGGGAGACAGCAGUGGGGAAUAUUGGACAAUGGGCGCAAGCCUGAUCCAGCCAUACCGCGUGGGUGAAGAAGGCCUUCGGGUUGUAAAGCCCUUUUGUUGGGAAAGAAAAGCAGCAGGUUAAUACCCCGCUGUUCUGACGGUACCCAAAGAAUAAGCACCGGCUAACUUCGUG
rnacentral:rRNA from 1 species